GGGGGCAAGCGUUGUUCGGAAUUACUGGGCGUAAAGGGCUCGUAGGCGGCCAACUAAGUCAGACGUGAAAUCCCUCGGCUUAACCGGGGAACUGCGUCUGAUACUGGAUGGCUUGAGUGCGGGAGAGGAAUGCGGAAUUCCAGGUGUAGCGGUGAAAUGCGUAGAUAUCUGGAGGAACACCGGUGGCGAAGGCGGCAUCCUGGACCGACACUGACGCUGAGGCACGAAAGCGUGGGGAGCAAACAGG
rnacentral:rRNA from 1 species